GACAGAGGGUGCAAACGUUGUUCGGAAUUACUGGGCGUAAAGCGCGUGUAGGCGGCUAUGUAAGUCGGGCGUGAAAUCCCACGGCUCAACCGUGGAAGUGCACCCGAAACUGCGUAGCUAGAGUCCUGGAGGGGAAGGUGGAAUGCUUGGUGUAGAGGUGAGAUUCGUAGAUAUCAAGCGGAACACCGGUGGCGAAGGCGGCCUUCUGGACCGUAACUGACGCUGAGACACGAAAGCGUGGGUAGCAAACAGG
rnacentral:rRNA from 1 species